AAGGCACGCAAACCCAAAGGUCAUUAUCUCUUUUGUAUAAUGCUCUUGUCAUGUGUGCAUAAAUAAAAUGAGUACUUUGUCGCCUUCCACUGGCUCCAUGUGCAAACGGAAGUGAAAUCAAGGUUCAACAUCU